UUCCUGGAGGACUAGUGGUUAGGUCAUGGCGCUCUCACCGCCAUGGCCUGGGUUUGAUUCCCAGCCAGGGAA